rnacentral:rRNA from 1 species
AGUCGAACGCUGAAGCACUCUGCUUGCAGAGUGUGGAUGAGUGGCGAACGGGUGAGUAACACGUGGAGAACCUGCCCAUAAGAGGGGGAUAACAUCCGGAAACGGGUGCUAAUACCGCAUAGGUAUCCGACACGCAUGUGUCGGSUAUGAAAGACGGCUUCGGCUGUCGCUUAUGGAUGGCUCCGCGGCGUAUUAGCUAGUUGGUGAGGUAAUGGCUCACCAAGGCAGUGAUACGUAGCCGACCUGAGAGGGUGAUCGGCCACACUGGGACUGAGACACGGCCCAGACUCCUACGGGAGGCAGCAGUAGGGAAUCUUCCACAAUGGGCGCAAGCCUGAUGGAGCAAUGCCGCGUGAAUGAAGAAGGUCUUCGGAUCGUAAAGUUCUGUUAUCGGAGAAGAACACGUCGAGUAGUAACUGGCUCGACCUUGACGGUAUCCGACCAGAAAGUCACGGCUAACUACGUGCCAGCAGCCGCGGUAAUACGUAGGUGACAAGCGUUGUCCGGAUUUAUUGGGCGUAAAGCGAGCGCAGGCGGUCUUUUAAGUCUGAUGUGAAAGCCCACGGCUCAACCGUGGAUGGUCAUUGGAAACUGGAGGACUUGAAUGCAGAAGAGGUAAGUGGAAUUCCAUGUGUAGCGGUGAAAUGCGUAGAUAUAUGGAGGAACACCAGUGGCGAAGGCGACUUACUGGUCUGUUAUUGACGCUGAGGCUCGAAAGCGUGGGGAGCGAACAGGAUUAGAUACCCUGGUAGUCCACGCCGUAAACGAUGAGUGCUAAGUGUUGGAGGGUUUCCGCCCUUCAGUGCUGGAGCUAACGCAUUAAGCACUCCGCCUGGGGAGUACGGCCGCAAGGCUGAAACUCAA